rnacentral:rRNA from 1 species
CUACGGAGGGGGUUAGCGUUGUUCGGAAUUACUGGGCGUAAAGCGCACGUAGGCGGACUGGAAAGUUGGGGGUGAAAUCCCGGGGCUCAACCCCGGAACUGCCUCCAAAACUUCCAAUCUAGAGAUCGAGAGAGGUGAGUGGAAUUCCAAGUGUAGAGGUGAAAUUCGUAGAUAUUUGGAGGAACACCAGUGGCGAAGGCGGCUCACUGGCUCGAUACUGACGCUGAGGUGCGAAAGCGUGGGGAGCAAACAGGAUUAGAUACCCUAGUAGUCC